CAAAAUCACUAAGCCCAGGGCCCUCUGUUACUUAGAUCUCCCCAAUUUAUAAAUUAUAGGAUUAGGGUUUAUUUCAUUUCUCAAAAUUCGAACAACGCAAAAAAUCAAAAGCAUCAAAGGAAAAGAAAAUGGCACUGAGGAGGUUUUACAACGAGAUUAAGGGAUUGAAAGUGAAGGAGGUCCCAAAUCAUGUGAAGCCUAUGCUAUCACUCGAUUACUUGAAGAAAUCGGUGGGGAGAGCUUUGGACAAUUACAACGAAAAGUACAUACAAACAGGCUCCAUCGAUCCUCUCUAUCAUGUCUGCUUCGGUGGCAUGAUCUUUUCCUACCUCGUUGCUCUUCCCGAGGAGCGCCGCCACCUCGAGCAUCAGCAGCAUGCCAAGGAGCACGGCCACUGAUUGAUGAUUCUUUGCUCUCCCCACGCAGGUAUUCCGUGAUUCUAUUUUGCUAGGAUCUGGUGGACCUCCUGGGGGUUGAUUUCACAAUCAUUGGUUUGCUUGAUGUUUUAAUUUUGUGUCUCUGGAUAUUUUAGGCAAGAAGAUACUGUCUUCACAAAGCGUUGCAUGAAGUGAUGAAAUAAAGUAACACUUGGCCAUAAAUAUUGAGCAUAAUAUUUUUCUUACUUAUUAAUGUCAUCUGGGUGGUUAUCAGCUUUGUUUUAUUUGUUCGACAUGCACUUGCAAUCUUAUUUUUGCGGUGGAUUUAUAUAUAUUUGCUAUUUUAGGACUCA